AAAAUGAAUUGAGAGUAAAAUACGUUUUGGUUCUUCUUCUCAUUCUGCAGCAGGAGUCCUGUGUUGUGAUGUUGUUGGUGAAGCAACUAGUACGAGUAGUGCCUUGUCUUUCCAGUGGUGUGGCAAUAGCAAGAGGAGGGCUUCAAAUCUCCACCGGUCCGUAUACAGCAAAGCUCGGAUCAACUACACAUCGGUUAAUCCGCAGACUGAGCAACUCCUAUUCAUCCAACACGAUGGACACCGAAACGUAUGCAUUUGGGCCAUACAAGAUAGACCCAAAGGAAGUUUUCUACUCCACACAUCUUUCCUAUGCCAUGGUCAACCUCCGCCCUCUUCUUCCUGGCUUCAAAUCUCCACCGGUCCGUAUACAGCAAAGCUCGGAUCAACUACACAUCGGUUAAUCCGCAGACUGAGCAACUCCUAUUCAUCCAACACGAUGGACACCGAAACGUAUGCAUUUGGGCCAUACAAGAUAGACCCAAAGGAAGUUUUCUACUCCACACAUCUUUCCUAUGCCAUGGUCAACCUCCGCCCUCUUCUUCCUGGUCAUAUCCUUUUCUGUAUGUGUGCAUUGUCGUGCGGGGGAAACAAACUCACGACUAAUAUGCUAAUUUCAUGGAUUCAAUGAACGAUUAAGUGGGUAAAACGAAGAGAAAUUUCAAAUUUGGUAGUGUUUAUGAUUAUAUUGUGGGAAUCUGAGUACAUGUUACUAAUACUGCAUCCAGUUUUAGUAUUAAGAAAUACAAGUCUUCAGCAUGCCUAUUGUCUUACUGGCUGCUUAAACUUAAAACGCUGCACAUUUUUUCUGUGGUUAAACUUUAAGCGUAUCAACUUCAAAUGUAGUACAUCUAUAUGUUCUACUUCUGCAGCUAUGUUUUCUGUUUUCUAUGGGAGCCUACCAUAGUCCUGAAUAUGCCUGAAGUUGUUUUAAUGUGGCUCUCACAGUGUUCCAACUAGAAAAGUAACUGAUUUUCUUAUGCAAGGUAUCUGAACCUUGCACACUUUUAUUAGCUUUGAAUUUCUGUUGCGAUAAGAGUACUAGGUGGUUACUGGUACCAUGGAGAUACAGUUAUCUGUUUCAAGUUAGAACCUUCGUCUAGCUUUAUAACAAUGAUUUGAUUGACUUGACGUUAUACACAUGUGCUUGUGUGCCCAAGACGUGAAGUGAAGCGCUUCGUUGAUCUCACUGCUGAUGAGACAAGUGAUUUAUGGCUUACUGCACAAGAGGUUGGAAGCCAACUUGAGUCCUACCACAAGGCAUCCUCCCUCACAUUUGCAAUUCAAGAUGGACCCCAAGCUGGACAGACAGUACCGCAUGUUCACAUUCACAUCGUUCCGCGGAAAGGUGGUGACUUUGAGAAAAAUGAUGAGAUUUAUGAUGCUAUAGACAUGAAGGAGAAGGAACUGCAGCAGAAGCUUGAUUUGGACAAGGAGAGAAAAGACAGAAGCAUGGAGGAGAUGGCUGAAGAGGCACAAGAAUACAGAAAGCUUCUCUCCUAGAAACUUUUUACUGGCGCCCCGCGGAUAAUAGCUUGUGUAGAGCUCCGCCUGCGCAGCGACUUGUUUAACCAAUGGAUAUGGGUGAAGUCUUUUCUAUUAUUCCAAUUCUUGUCUAGUUGGUGUGUGUUGGAUACAGCUCCAAACUUGGUACACCUGCUUCGGUAGAACUUGACCAUUGCCGGCUUCUCAAGAUUCUCACAAAUAGAUGUUCUUACAAUUUUUCCAUUACAACCGAUGUUACAUUGCCUUUAGACACCCAGAACAGGGUGGAAACAGAUCUAUUCUACCAAGAGUUGUAAUCGGGGUUUACGUAUCGACAGACUACUGGUCAUUUCGGAGUCAGUCAAUUCUCCAAGUAAUUUCCGUCGUAUUAAAUCAGGGAACAAGGAUAUCGGGUUAUCAUCGAUAAUUUUUUCA